GCGGACGGGUGAGUAAUGCUUAGGAAUCUGCCUAUUAGUGGGGGACAACAUCUCGAAAGGGAUGCUAAUACCGCAUACGUCCUACGGGAGAAAGCAGGGGACCUUCGGGCCUUGCGCUAAUAGAUGAGCCUAAGUCGGAUUAGCUAGUUGGUGGGGUAAAGGCCUACCAAGGCGACGAUCUGUAGCGGGUCUGAGAGGAUGAUCCGCCACACUGGGACUGAGACACGGCCCAGACUCCUACGGGAGGCAGCAGUGGGGAAUAUUGGACAAUGGGGGGAACCCUGAUCCAGCCAUGCCGCGUGUGUGAAGAAGGCCUUUUGGUUGUAAAGCACUUUAAGCGAGGAGGAGGCUACCGAGAUUAAUACUCUUGGAUAGUGGACGUUACUCGCAGAAUAAGCACCGGCUAACUCUGUGCCAGCAGCCGCGGUAAUACAGAGGGUGCAAGCGUUAAUCGGAUUUACUGGGCGUAAAGCGCGCGUAGGUGGCCAAUUAAGUCAAAUGUGAAAUCCCCGAGCUUAACUUGGGAAUUGCAUUCGAUACUGGUUGGCUAGAGUAUGGGAGAGGAUGGUAGAAUUCCAGGUGUAGCGGUGAAAUGCGUAGAGAUCUGGAGGAAUACCGAUGGCGAAGGCAGCCAUCUGGCCUAAUACUGACACUGAGGUGCGAAAGCAUGGGGAGCAAACAGGAUUAGAUACCCUGGUAGUCCAUGCCGUAAACGAUGUCUACUAGCCGUUGGGGCCUUUGAGGCUUUAGUGGCGCAGCUAACGCGAUAAGUAGACCGCCUGGGGAGUACGGUCGCAAGA
rnacentral:rRNA from 1 species